UGGGGAAUAUUGCACAAUGGGCGAAAGCCUGAUGCAGCGACGCCGCGUGAGGGAUGAAGGCCUUCGGGUUGUAAACCUCUUUCGCUCAUGGUCAAGCCGCAACUUUGGGUUGUGGUGAGGGUAGUGGGUAAAGAAGCACCGGCUAACUACGUGCCAGCAGCCGCGGUAAUACGUAGGGUGCGAGCGUUGUCCGGAAUUAUUGGGCGUAAAGGGCUUGUAGGCGGUUUGUCGCGUCUGCCGUGAAAUCCUCUGGCUUAACUGGGGGCGUGCGGUGGGUACGGGCAGACUUGAGUGCGGUAGGGGAGACUGGAACUCCUGGUGUAGCGGUGGAAUGCGCAGAUAUCAGGAAGAACACCGGUGGCGAAGGCGGGUCUCUGGGCCGUUACUGACGCUGAGGAGCGAAAGCGUGGGGAGCGAACAGGAUUAGAUACCCUGGUAGUCCACGCUGUAAACGUUGGGCACUAGGUGUGGGGGCCACCCGUGGUUUCUGCGCCGUAGCUAACGCUUUAAGUGCCCCGCCUGGGGAGUACGGCCGCAAGGCUA
rnacentral:rRNA from 1 species